rnacentral:rRNA from 1 species
CCUACGGGAGGCAGCAGUGAGGAAUAUUGGUCAAUGGCCGAGAGGCUGAACCAGCCAAGUCGCGUGAGGGAAGAAUGUCCUCUGGAUUGUAAACCUCUUUUGUCAGGGAGCAAAGUCACCCACGUGUGGGUGUUGGAGAGUACCUGAUGAAAAAGCAUCGGCUAACUCCGUGCCAGCAGCCGCGGUAAUACGGAGGAUGCGAGCGUUCUCCGGAUUUAUUGGGGUUAACGGGUGCGUAGGCGGGUUAUCAAGUCAGCGGUAAAAUCGUGGAGCUCAACUCCAUCCAGACGUUGAAUCUGAUGAUCUUGAGUGGGCGAGAAGUAGGCUGAAAGCGUGGGGUAGCGGGGACAUGCAGA